AGAGUUUGAUCCUGGCUCAGGACGAACGCUGGCGGCGUGCUUAACACAUGCAAGUCGAACGGAAAGGCUCCUUCGGGGGUACUCGAGUGGCGAACGGGUGAGUAACACGUGGGUGAUCUGCCCUGCACUUCGGGAUAAGCUUGGGAAACUGGGUCUAAUACCGGAUAGGACCAUGGGAUGCAUGUCUUGUGGUGGAAAGCUUUUGCGGUGUGGGAUGGGCCCGCGGCCUAUCAGCUUGUUGGUGGGGUGAUGGCCUACCAAGGCGACGACGGGUAGCCGGCCUGAGAGGGUGUCCGGCCACACUGGGACUGAGAUACGGCCCAGACUCCUACGGGAGGCAGCAGUGGGGAAUAUUGCACAAUGGGCGCAAGCCUGAUGCAGCGACGCCGCGUGGGGGAUGACGGCCUUCGGGUUGUAAACCUCUUUCACCAUCGACGAAGGUCCGGGUUUUCUCGGGUUGACGGUAGGUGGAGAAGAAGCACCGGCCAACUACGUGCCAGCAGCCGCGGUAAUACGUAGGGUGCGAGCGUUGUCCGGAAUUACUGGGCGUAAAGAGCUCGUAGGUGGUUUGUCGCGUUGUUCGUGAAAUUCCAUGGCUUAACUGUGGGCGUGCGGGCGAUACGGGCAGACUGGAGUACUGCAGGGGAGACUGGAAUUCCUGGUGUAGCGGGAAUGCGCAGAUAUCAGGAGGAACACCGGUGGCGAAGGCGGGUCUCUGGGCAGUAACUGACGCUGAGGAGCGAAAGCGUGGGGAGCGAACAGGAUUAGAUACCCUAGUAGUCC
rnacentral:rRNA from 1 species